AAAGCAUUUUUCAAUAACAUUACGCGCUGAAGCAUGUUUCAUAUUGAAAAAUUCUUCCGGAGUACUUGGCUAGUAACCCUGACGCCACUCAUUCAAAUGAUAUCUUUGUCCUCUAAAAAGUGCAAGAAAUCCCUCACAAUUUGUGUAUCCAACAUCAACUAGAUAAUAACAACCUAUAAAAAAAACUAUUUGUCAUGGUUAAUU
rnacentral:lncRNA from 1 species